AUAUCUUUAUUAUCAUUUAAAAACGAAAAUUAAAAUGACCGGUAAAAAUAGAUUAUGACCGGAUUUUUAUGACCUUGUCGGUCAAAAUGACCAGCGACGAAAAAGUCUAGUGCAACGUCUGCUCCAACAUGAACUGAAACUUUGGAGCUUCGAACAUACUGCUGAAAAUAAAAACAUAUACAACACUGAAAUGACUCCCUGAGAUGGGGUCUUUUUUGUGACCCUGUUGUGGCCGUGAUGUCCCGACGGCUCUGAGGGAUUUCCUUCCUCUCCUAUAAGGGGCAGAGGGCCCUCAAAAAGAGAAAAUGAGUGGUACUGCAUAAUAACUAUUGCCCCCAUAAUAGAUUAUUUAAUACAGUAUGCAUACCUAGGAGACAGAGUCCAAUAUUCAGAGGAAACGUAAGCAAAUUAUAACCCGACUUUCUCAGAUACAUUUGGAAAAAAACAAUCAAUUAACAAAAUAAUGUUUUGACAAUCAAAAUCGUUAACCUGUUCGGACCCAGUCUCUUUCAUCCACAAGGAUUUACUCUAGAUGGCAAAGUCACUUUCUUCUGCUCCUGCUGCAGAGACAAAGUCAGUUACUUUCUCCUGAAAGCGUCCAGCUUCUCCUUAUAACCCGUGCGCGCUGCGGCUGUCUCAACGUCUUUUCCCCGGAGAGACGUGUGCCACGUCAGGCGCUUGAUUUUCUCCUCCCAGCUCUCCGGCGGCUUGAACACUUUCACAGGUAGUCCCUUUGCUGCCAUAUCCACAGUUGCCUCCUCGGCCGAGUUGUAGAGUUUAGUUUCGUCUUGAAAAAAUACUCUCAGUCUGGCUGGGAAUGGCGUCUGGAAUCUUAUUUUUUUCUCCUUCAACACCCGUUUUGCCUCUGCGUAAUCCUUGCGUUUUUUCAAAACCUCCGGAGCAUAGUCGUGAUCUAUAUUCACUCUUUUCUCUUUGAAAACAAAGCCACGUUUUUGCCAGGCUGUCUUCACGAUGUCCUCUUUGGAGCGGUGGCUAGCAAACUUGACCACAAUCGAUCUUGGCAGUGCGUCAUGUGGAGGUCGGGGACCCAGAGCGCGGUGUGCCUUUUCGAUGUGCAGGUCUGUGGAGGGUGGAAGGUCCAGGUUUUCUUUCAGUAGCGUUUUGACAAAGGAAAUCACAGAGGCUGUGCUAUCUUCAGCCCCUUCGCAGACACCGUGGAUCCUAAUAUUGUCCCUUCUGGCUCGGCCCUCCUGAUCUUGCCUCCAGGUGAGUCUGUCGUUUAAGCAUCUCCAGUAUCGCUCCCUCCACUCCUUGUACUCUCUUCCGCCUCGGCAAUUCGCACUUCUGCCUCAUUAAUCCUGUUGUUAGUCUUGUUAAUCUCUUCCUUAAUGUCCUUCAACGUGUCUCCGUUCUCUCUGCGAAACUCUCAAUUCUUGGAGAAUCACGUCCAAGUCUGCCAUGUUUUUUUCCUCGCUUAGUCCCUCUGUAGCAAGCUGGCUAGUGCUAAUGCUAGCGCUAGUUUCUUCUUCGAGAAACUUGUCGGUCACAGGGUAUUGUCUCGAGUCUCUACCUUGUCCCGGCUUUUUCUGCUGUAUCCUAGGCAUGUUAUAUGCCCCUACAACUAAUUAUACCAAUUUACAGUGUUAUCUGACCAAGUAACUGGGGCUUUAAAAAUUAGCUUGGGGGGGCUGCGGGAUUAGCGUGUUGCCUCCAUGGCCGCUCAACCGGAAGUCCGGGGUAAAUAUCUUGUAUAUUGAUAAGUAUUCCUUUACGUUAUGCAUUCAAAACAUUACAAAGUAUGUAAGUAAAUUAACAACUACUCAAUGUGCAUUAAAAUGAUCCCUGUCAGUGUUUUAGCUUUGUAUUAAUAUCGCUUUAAUGUGUGUUAUAAUUUAAUGCUGUAGAUGUUUAAGGUUGAGGAAAAAGGAAAAAAACGAGAGAAAAGGAGAGGAAGACAACGAAAAAAAGGGACAGAAGAAGAAAAAAGGGAGAGGGAGACAACGAGUAAAUGGGACAGAAGAAGAAAAAAGGGAGAGGAAGACAACGUGUAAAAGGACAUAAGUAUGAAAAAAGGGAGAAAGACUGACAGAAAGGGACAGGAAGAGAAAAAGAAAAAAGGGAAAGGAAGACAACGAAAAAAAGUGACAGGAAGAGAGAGGGCCAAAAGGUACAAAAUAAUACAUGUGUAUUCUGUUAAAAUUUAUGUAUCUGUAUAAUUGACCUGUUGUUGUUUUGUGUGUUAUCUUCUCAUUUCAGCACCACAACAUAGAGGACAGCAUCUACUUGCUGAACCUGCUUGCUGCUGCUGCCCAUAUUUGAGCUGUGUAAAGCACCACAGCAAUAAAAGGAUCAAUAAAGGAUGUGGAGGGCCCCAAGCCUGUCUUCGCCUGGGCCCCAAAAUGACUAACUCAGACCCUGCUUAAAGCAACACUUACCUUUCUGGAAAUUUUCUUUGUUUAGGUUAAAAUGCUAUUAAUAAGCAGAUGGCACACUAAAAUGUAAGUGAAUUCCACCAGAAAUAAAAACUCAUAAUUGUACCAUUCUCAAAUGGUUCUAAGAAACGUCAAGGAGGUCAAGUCAAACAUCAUAAUGGACUAUCCCAGUAUUUCAGAUACUCCAAUAGAAGAAACUAUGUUGAAAGCAAAGGUACAAAAGGGAUUAAUAUCAAGAUUGUAUAAUACUAAUACUAAUACUAAUAAUAAUAUAAACAAUGGAAUGAACCAUAAUUCAGCACGACAUAAAUACAAGUGGGAAAAAGAUGUGGGACACGAAUACACGCUGAAGGAAUGGGAAGAUCUAUUGGAGAAAAAAAAGUUUGGUUAACACCAAACAUAGACUUAUGCAGUUUAACAUAUUUCACCAUGUGUAUUAUACUCCCCCAGGCUACAGCAGUUGAGUCCUAAUACACCAUCUUAAUGCCCAAGAUGUAAUGCAGAUAAUGGUGAUAUGAUACACAUGUUUUGGAGGUGCACACACUUGGAAGGAUUUUGGAAUAAAGUUUAUAAAUAUACAUCUGAAAUAUUACAGAAAAGAAUUAUCCUGGACCCCAGAAUAUCAAUUUUGGGUGAUGUAGAAAUGUGUAAAGAAGUUAAUAAUGAUGAAAAAAAAAUAUUAUUAUUAAUAAUGACAGCAGCAAAAAAAUACAUAUUACUUAAUUGGAAAUCCAAAUAUGUACCUCCAAUAACACAAUGGGGGAAGAGAACUACUCUCAUACUGCACUCCAGAAAAAAUCAUGUAUAAUGUUAAAGGUCAAUCAAUGAAAUUUGAUAAGAUAUGGGGCAAACUUGUUAAUAAUAUAAAAAGAUAGAAGGGCAGAUAUUGCUUUAGAUUAAUUUAUGGAUAUUUCUUGUGUGUAUGUAGGUUAUGAGAGAAUAUAUUUUUGUAUUUGAAUUAAGAUUAUAAUGAAAUGAUGUUGGUAGGACAAAGAGAAUGUUGAAUAUGUACAUAUGAUGGGUGGGGAAGGUAUGGGGUAAAGGAACGAGUAAAUGUUUUUUAGCUUGUUUGUUCUUUUUUUUGUGUAAACGAUAAUGAUUGUAUUGACACAUGCAAAAAAGAAAAACCCAAUAAAAUGCAAUUUAAAAAAAAAAAA